CAGUCGCCGCGGUAAUACGUAGGGUGCGAGCGUUGUCCGGAAUUAUUGGGCGUAAAGAGCUCGUAGGCGGCUUGUCGCGUCGGAUGUGAAAGCCCGGGGCUUAACUCCGGGUCUGCAUUCGAUACGGGCAGGCUAGAGUGUGGUAGGGGAGAUCGGAAUUCCUGGUGUAGCGGUGAAAUGCGCAGAUAUCAGGAGGAACACCGGUGGCGAAGGCGGAUCUCUGGGCCAUUACUGACGCUGAGGAGCGAAAGCGUGGGGAGCGAACAGGAUUAGAGACCCCGGUAGUCCCUGUCUCUUAUAC
rnacentral:rRNA from 1 species